AUGCCAAAGUGGCAUAUUUUGGGAUGGAGUAUUCUGAUCCCUUUCAAGGCCACAGAGCAGGGAAGUGACAGAAGGAGCCUUCACGUUGGAGUCUCCUGGCCCCUAGCCCAAUACCUCUUCACUGCCUUCUUUUCUUACAGUGCUUGGGCUUUUCAGGAGCAGACCCAUGUUCCUCACCCUUCGUUUCCAGGACCUUCUAUGCAUCACCUGGCCCAGCAUUUCCUUUGGCAUGGAGCUUCCUGGAGAAUAGGGGGUUCUUGUCCACCAUAAUGCCUUAGAGCCGUACUGCCUUAAGGAAUGUGCCAUCUGGGCUGGAGAAGGUGGCGUCAGAGUGGCUUCACUUCCUGCACCCAGUCUCUGCCACUUCCUGCUGAAUGACUUGCCUCAAGUGAGUUAUUGAACUUAUCCAAGUCUGUUUCCUCAUCUAUACAGUAAGGUCAAAAUAACCACCUGGCAGGGCCAUGUGUAAUCAGGUGUAAAGGAGAAAAUGUAUAUACAGUUCUUAGCACAAGAAGAUCCAGAAAACAGCUUUUUCUCAUCUCUCUUUUGGGAAGCCAGAGGAUACUACAACUGAUUUUUUCUUCUGCUCUGUGGUUCCCAGACCUGGGGUGUUUGGGGCCUGGGAGGGGCGCUCUGCCAUCAGCAGAGCCAGGAGCAGAGGUGGCUGCAUCUCAGGGCUGGACCCUCGAGGGGUGGGGACAGCCUCAGCUCCUGCUGGCCCCAGCCCAGCCCAGCCUCUGGGAAGGCUGCAAAGCCGCCCACCUGGACAAUGACCUUCGACUGCUCGUCCAUGGCCUCUUGGGAAUAAGGGAGUGUUCCUGGCAGAGGAUGGGCA
rnacentral:lncRNA from 1 species